CGCGGGGUAGAGCAGUUUGGUAGCUCACAAGGCUCAUAACCUUGAGGUCACGGGUUCAAAUCCCGUCUCCGCAA
rnacentral:tRNA from 3 species